UGUACCUCCAACAGUGAGACUCAGGCUGUGUGACAGAUGGUAGAAAGAAAUAUUUACACGAAGGCUGUGGCUGGGAGGGCAGACACGCUCACUGUUGCCGUAGGUGAACUUGUGUUGCUGCCUGUUGGACACGCAGGCACAACGUGGCGAAGCCUCCAUGAGUCCUGACGUGUCUUCCUCACAGCAAACAGCCGCCACCUUUAGUUACUCCUUGGGGACCACGAUUUUUCUCAGCCAGCCUCCUUCACGAUCUCCUCCAAAGUGCGCUUGGCUCUCCCGGGAGAAUCGCAGCUGAGAAUGACAGCUGGACAGUUGCACCCGGCUCACCAGCUUCGCACACAGCUUGCUUUCAAGGAAGUGGGGCAGCAAACUGGCAGACCCCCGGAAAGACUCAGUUUCCCCACCUUGACUGCAUUUAGGGGUGGCUGUGCGACUGAGUUCUGGCCAAUGAAGUGUGAGUGGGAGAGGCCACUCACUAGUUAGAAACGAGUCAACAUCACUGGGUACAAGAUGUUCUGACCAAAUUCCAACUUCCAGUUGGACGUUCCCAGCCCUUCUCGAGGGCUGUCUGGUAAUUUUCUAAUCCUGCCUGGGACAUUCCUGUUUCCUGCUGAGAAAUAAGAAAACAACAAUGCUUCCCUAAGGGUGGUCUGCUUCAGCCCUGGGCCCUGGGAUCUCCAUUUUAGGGAAAGUGUUUACAAGGGUAUAAAGCUCUGAAAGGAAGCGGGCCUGUGAGUCUUCUGGGAAAGAACAUGGGCCCCCGCCAUAAGGAUUUGCCGCAGAAUUCUGCUGCAUUCCUCAGCGGGACAGACUGUCUAGGAAGUUCACUUUGAUUAAAAUAUAGCUACAUGUAAGUGUGUGUGAGUGGGUGUGUGAAACAGAUCUGAGAAAAAGGCAGGCAAAAGUAAAGGGAGUGAGGGAGAUAAGGAGAGAGGUCACAGGCAGAUAGUUCUCUCUCGGUGCAUAAAGAUUUCUUCGGUGCACUUGAAUUUUUUUUAUUAUGGAAAUAUUCAAACAUACACAAAAAUAGAGAAAAUAGUGUAGUGAACCACCACGUACCCAUCAUCCAACUUCAACAACUAUCAACAUUUUGUCAAUCUUUUUUACCUAUCUGCUCCUCUCCUUUUUUUUGCUCUAGAACUGGGAAUUGGCAAACUAGCACCCACUGGGCCAAAUCCAGCUUGCCUCCUGUUUUUGUAAAUAAAGUUUUAUUGGAACACAGCCGCAACUAUUCCUUUAUGUGUUAUCCACACCUGCUUUCACAUCACACCAGCAAGGCUGAGUAGUUGGACAGACAUUGUAUAGCCCAGGAAGCCUAAAAUAUUUCUAUGUGAACUUUUAGAGAAAAAGCUUAUACUGGGCAUCAUACCAUUUCACUCAUAAAUGUUUCAAUAUGAGUCUCUAGCAGAUAAUGUAACUGUGGGCCUCCAGGACCAGUGCAACUGACCUCGUCUCUUACCACCAGAGUGAUUAAGAACUGCCUUUCAGAAAGUGUGCAAAGUCACAUAGCCAGGGCACGUGCAAAAGAAGAAAUCGUGACCUGAAACGACUUCAGAACCAAAGAUCC